GAGUGCCCACGAGCCGGCCCAGCGGCUGCGGACAGACCUGGUCUGAGGAUGGCUACGGAGCAGGGAACAAAGGUCUCCUGGAAGAAGCUGGCGAGCCUUGAAGCAAGCUGCUGCUUUCUGCUGUUUCAGUUCUCCCACCAGCCAGGGCGUCAUCAUCAUCUUCUCUGCUGCCGUAAAGUGACUAGGCUGCCUCUGUCAUGCAUCCUAUGCCCAAGCAGCAGAGCCGAGUGACCAUGGACCAAAGUCUCUGAGACCAGGAGCCAAAAUAAACCUUUCUUCUUCAUA